UACGUAGGGGGCAAGCGUUGUCCGGAUUUAUUGGGCGUAAAGAGCGUGUAGGCGGUUUGGUAGGUCCGCUGUGAAAACUCGAGGCUCAACCUCGAGACGCCGGUGGAAACCAUCAGACUAGAGUCCGGAAGAGGAGAGUGGAAUUCCUGGAUGUAGCGGUGAAUGACGCAGAUAUCAGGAAGAACACCCGUGGCUAAGGCGGCUCUCUAGUACGGUACUGACGCUGAGACGCGAAAGCGUGGGAGCGAACAGG
rnacentral:rRNA from 1 species